AUCUUCUGUAGUUCAUCAGUAUGAUAAUUGGGUGUUUCACACACAUGUGAGAUGUAUCAUUCUCAAACCUUGUUAUGAUGUCAGCACUACCCAUCUAACC
ensembl:snoRNA